rnacentral:lncRNA from 1 species
AUUGGUCAAAGUUUAAUUAGGAUUAUUGAAGUUUACUAAAAGUUUAUUUGAGAUUUUAUUAGAUUUGAUAAGAUUGUUGCUUCAUUUUUACUUAUCUUCUAUAACUAAGUGCGUGAUGGAUUUUCAAGCAAGAACACACAUAAUUUGACAAUGUUAUCAUGUUGUAUUUGUGCACAAUAUAUAAAGACUAAAAAAGAACUAUGAA